AGGGGCUUAGGAUAACAAUAGACCAAGGGCCUUCAAAGCCCUAAGCAAGUAUAAGAUACUUAGCCCCUG
rnacentral:tRNA from 1 species